rnacentral:rRNA from 1 species
UACGUAGGGGGCGAGCGUUGUCCGGAUUCAUUGGGCGUAAAGCGCGCGUAGGCGGCCUGGCAAGUCGGCCGUGAAAUCUCCGGGCUCAACUCGGAGGGGUCGGGCGAGACUGCGAGGCUCGAGGUGGGCAGAGGGCAGUGGAAUUCCGGGUGUAGUGGUGGAAUGCGUAGAGAUCCGGAGGAACACCAGUGGCGAAGGCGGCUGCCUGGGCCUGGCCUGACGCUGAGGCGCGAAAGCGUGGGGAGCGAUC